rnacentral:rRNA from 1 species
GGCGUGCUUAACACAUGCAAGUCGAACGGAAAGGCCCUGCUUUUGUGGGGUGCUCGAGUGGCGAACGGGUGAGUAACACGUGAGUAACCUGCCCUUGACUUUGGGAUAACUUCAGGAAACUGGGGCUAAUACCGGAUAGGAGCUCCUGCUGCAUGGUGGGGGUUGGAAAGUUUCGGCGGUUGGGGAUGGACUCGCGGCUUAUCAGCUUGUUGGUGGGGUAGUGGCUUACCAAGGCUUUGACGGGUAGCCGGCCUGAGAGGGUGACCGGCCACAUUGGGACUGAGAUACGGCCCAGACUCCUACGGGAGGCAGCAGUGGGGAAUAUUGCACAAUGGGCGGAAGCCUGAUGCAGCAACGCCGCGUGCGGGAUGACGGCCUUCGGGUUGUAAACCGCUUUCGCCUGUGACGAAGCGUGAGUGACGGUAAUGGGUAAAGAAGCACCGGCUAACUACGUGCCAGCAGCCGCGGUGAUACGUAGGGCGCGAGCGUUGUCCGGAUUUAUUGGGCGUAAAGGGCUCGUAGGUGGUUGAUCGCGUCGGAAGUGUAAUCUUGGGGCUUAACCCUGAGCGUGCUUUCGAUACGGGUUGACUUGAGGAAGGUAGGGGAGAAUGGAAUUCCUGGUGGAGCGGUGGAAUGCGCAGAUAUCAGGAGGAACACCAGUGGCGAAGGCGGUUCUCUGGGCCUUUCCUGACGCUGAGGAGCGAAAGCGUGGGGAGCGAACAGGCUUAGAUACCCUGGUAGUCCACGCUGUAAACGGUGGGUACUAGGUGUGGGGUCCAUUCCACGGGUUCCGUGCCGUAGCUAACGCUUUAAGUACCCCGCCUGGGGAGUACGGCCGCAAGGCUAAAACUCAAAGGAAUUGACGGGGCCCCGCACAAGCGGCGGAGCAUGCGGAUUAAUUCGAUGCAACGCGUAGAACCUUACCUGGGUUUGACAUGGAUCGGGAGUGCUCAGAGAUGGGUGUGCCUCUUUUGGGGUCGGUUCACAGGUGGUGCAUGGCUGUCGUCAGCUCGUGUCGUGAGAUGUUGGGUUAAGUCCCGCAACGAGCGCAACCCUUGUUCACUGUUGCCAGCACGUUAUGGUGGGGACUCAGUGGAGACCGCCGGGGUCAACUCGGAGGAAGGUGGGGAUGACGUCAAGUCAUCAUGCCCCUUAUGUCCAGGGCUUCACGCAUGCUACAAUGGCUGGUACAGAGAGUGGCGAGCCUGUGAGGGUGAGCGAAUCUCGGAAAGCCGGUCUCAGUUCGGAUUGGGGUCUGCAACUCGACCUCAUGAAGUCGGAGUCGCUAGUAAUCGCAGAUCAGCAACGCUGCGGUGAAUACGUUCCCGGGGCUUGUACACACCGCCCGUCAAGUCAUGAAAGUUGGUAACACCCGAAGCCGGUGGCCUAACAGUUGUGGGGGAGCCGUCGAAGGUGGGACUGGUG